UUGCUCAUUAAAAACAUAGUUAAGAAAGUGACGGUGUGCAAUGGCUGCAAACAGCAGCCUCCUCAGUAGUAGAUGCAGCCUGUGGCUUGUAUGAGUUACCCUACGGGACCUUGGAGAUCACC
ensembl:snoRNA SNORA70 Small nucleolar RNA SNORA70